GCAGUGGUGGUGGAACUGGUAGACACGCUAUCUUGAGGGGGUAGUGGGGUAUCCCGUGAGGGUUCGAGUCCCUCCCACUGCACCA
rnacentral:tRNA from 1 species